rnacentral:tRNA from 1 species
GGCCUCGUAGCUCUGAUGGUAGAGCACUCGCGGUACUCGCGAGGGUGGUGGCCAUACGUGGGUUCGAAUCCCGUCGGGGCGG